CACACUAUCAUUAACUGAAUCCAUAGGUUAAUGAGGCGAACCGGGGGAACUGAAACAUCUAAGUACCCCGAGGAAAAGAAAUCAACCGAGAUUCCCCCAGUAGCGGCGAGCGAACGGGGAGCAGCCCAGAGCCUGAAUCAGUGUGUGUGUUAGUGGAAGCGUCUGGAAAGGCGCGCGAUACAGGGUGACAGCCCCGUACACAAAAAUGCACAUACUGUGAGCUCGAUGAGUAGGGCGGGACACGUGGUAUCCUGUCUGAAUAUGGGGGGACCAUCCUCCAAGGCUAAAUACUCCUGACUGACCGAUAGUGAACCAGUACCGUGAGGGAAAGGCGAAAAGAACCCCGGCGAGGGGAGUGAAAAAGAACCUGAAACCGUGUACGUACAAGCAGUGGGAGCACGCUUAGGCGUGUGACUGCGUACCUUUUGUAUAAUGGGUCAGCGACUUAUAUUCUGUAGCAAGGUUAACCGAAUAGGGGAGCCGAAGGGAAACCGAGUCUUAACUGGGCGUUAAGUUGCAGGGUAUAGACCCGAAACCCGGUGAUCUAGCCAUGGGCAGGUUGAAGGUUGGGUAACACUAACUGGAGGACCGAACCGACUAAUGUUGAAAAAUUAGCGGAUGACUUGUGGCUGGGGGUGAAAGGCCAAUCAAACCGGGAGAUAGCUGGUUCUCCCCGAAAGCUAUUUAGGUAGCGCCUCGUGAAUUCAUCUCCGGGGGUAGAGCACUGUUUCGGCAAGGGGGUCAUCCCGACUUACCAACCCGAUGCAAACUGCGAAUACCGGAGAAUGUUAUCACGGGAGACACACGGCGGGUGCUAACGUCCGUCGUGAAGAGGGAAACAACCCAGACCGCCAGCUAAGGUCCCAAAGUCAUGGUUAAGUGGGAAACGAUGUGGGAAGGCCCAGACAGCCAGGAUGUUGGCUUAGAAGCAGCCAUCAUUUAAAGAAAGCGUAAUAGCUCACUGGUCGAGUCGGCCUGCGCGGAAGAUGUAACGGGGCUAAACCAUGCACCGAAGCUGCGGCAGCGACGCUGAUGCGUUGUUGGGUAGGGGAGCGUUCUGUAAGCCUG
rnacentral:rRNA from 1 species